ACUAACUAGGUAUGUGCGAAUACGGGGCAUUGCGAGCGCUGGUUUUGGUGGCACGGUUUUCGCGCAGGUUUUGGUGUGAGUGGCAUCGCCUCUGUCUGGGCGGCUUGUCGAAAAUGGGGUUUAAUGCGCAUGUGCACAUAGUAGAUGCAAUCUCGUGCCUUUUAACAGACAGCUGAAGAUGUGCUCUUUCUGUACAUAUAACUAAGUUUCAAUGUGGAUACUGGCCUGUAAAGUGUGGAUAUCGGAGCUUGAAAGUUCAUCAAAUUUUUGGACGCGUAAAUGUUCGAAAAUUUUUUAUGGUAAGUAAAAAUAAGUACCGAUUAGGUAUAAAAAUUAGCUCUAAAUAUAUUUAAAUUAUUAAAAAAUCCAAAAUCACGCCAUUCUGACAUUGCGCAGUCCAGAUAUAAGAGAUGCCAGCUACCCUUGUCACAGCCGGUCUCUCGGCAGUCGAGC